AGAUACAGUUAAGUCUACCUUAUAUAUCUUGACCUCAACUAGAAACUGACAGUGAGGGUCUGCUGAAAACAAAACUUUACGACAAAAGAGAUGAUUUAAGCUUAUAGAUUAAUUACGGGAAUUGUACUAACAUGAGCAACACGAUGGGCGCAACACGUGCAGUAGGAUCUGCGUACCCUCAAGUCUUAUGGUUUUUUUUGUACUAUUGUGUCAUGUGUGUGUCUGUAUGUCUUUUUCCUUUUUAAUCAUGUUGUUGUCAGUUUAAACUCGACUUAUGAGUUUGCAUGUCCCUUUUGUAUCUUUCGCCUCCCUUCUAAUAAAAAAUCAUGUGUACACAUAUAUUCUAAUCUAAUUGUUCUAAGCUUAACUAAGUUUGUCCAUAAACAACCUAUAUGUUUAACAAAUGGGUUCAGAACCUGACAAUUAGUAUGUUGCUACUUGCAAGAGCGCGACGUUUCUACUGUUUAAUGUGCACAAAUUAUCAAUACUCGUUGAUUCUUAUUCUGAUAAUAGCUGACGCAAUUACCACACGCAAUCAAAAAUGCUUACUCCUUUUAAUAAAUGAGAUUGAGCAAGAUGAUAAGCAAAACAUUAUAUUAAGUAACUCACAGUAUCAAGUGCAUGCAAAACAAU
rnacentral:lncRNA from 1 species